UACGUAGGUGGCAAGCGUUGUCCGGAUUUACUGUGCUUCCCUUUCUCGUAGGCGGAUACUUAAGUGGGAUGUGAAAUACCUGGGCUUAACUUGGGUGCUGCAUUCCAAACUGGGUGUCUAGAGUGUUGGAGAGGAAAGUGGAAUUCCUAGUGUAGCGGUGAAAUGCGUAGAGAUUAGGAAGAACACCAGUGGCGAAGGCGACUUUCUGGACAAUAACUGACGCUGAGGCUCGAAAGCGUGGGGAGCAAACAGGAUUAGAUACCCUGGUAGUCCACGCCGUAAACGAUGGGUACUAGGUGUAGGAGGUAUCGACUCCUCCUGUGCCGCCGUUAACACAAUAAGUACCCCGCCUGGGGAGUACGGUCGCAAGAUUAAA
rnacentral:rRNA from 1 species